rnacentral:misc_RNA from 1 species
AGUCGUAACAAGGUAUCCGUAGGUGAACCUGCGGAUGGAUCAUUAACAAAGAUUCAUCUUUAUGUAUUGUGAACCAGUUGACUAACUGUCAGUGUGGGUGUUGUGAAUGUCGGUUGUUUUACUACUGCUGACAACUUGCCUCAUUUGCACUGACGGUACUAUACUAUACGUAUUGCCAAUAUCUAAACUGAAGUCUUUUUAGUUACAAACUAAAGAAAACUUUUAGCAACGGAUCUCUUGGCUCUC